CAAUGCAUUUGACUAAUUAUAAUAGUUAAAGAGAGAUUAGGAGUGUUUAGACAACACUUAUAUCAAGGUUUUCUCAAAAGAGGCUAAAACAACCAAAAAAUUGAUUAGAAUCUGUAAAUUGCUUCGUUAGUGUUUUUAUGGUCAAAAUGUGUCACAAUCCAAUGCAUUUUAAUAAUAAUAAGAGUUAGAGAUGGAUUAGGAGUCUUUAGACAACGUUUAUACCCAUUUUCUCCCAAAAGCGGCUAAAACCAUCAAACAUUUGCUUAGAAGCAGUAAAUAGGGUUGUUAGUGUUUCUAUUGUAAAAAUUUGUCACAAUCUAAUGCAUUUGACUAAUUAUAAGAGUUAGAGAUAGAUUAAGAGUGUUUAAACAAUACUUAUACCCAUUUUCCCUCAAAAGAGGCUAAAACCAACAAAAGAUUGCUUACAAGCAGUAAACAGUUUUAUUAGUGUUUUUAUGAUCAAAAUGUGUCACAAUCCAAUGCAUUUGACUAAUAAUAAGAGUUAGAGAUGGAUUAGGAGUGUUUAGACAACACUUAUACCCAUUUUCUCCCAAAAGAGGCUAAAACCAACAAAAAAUUGCUUACAAGCAAUAAACAGUUUUGUUAGUGUUUUUAUGGUCAAAAUGUGUUACAAUCCAAUGCAUUUGACCAAUUAUAAGAGUUAGAGAUGGAUUAGGAGUGUUUAGACAACACUAAUACCUAUUUUCUCUCAAAAGAAGCUAAAACCCACAAAAAAUUGCUUAGAAGCAGUAAACAGUUCUGUUAGUGUUUUGAUUGUCAACAUGUGUCAUAAUCCAAUGCAUUUGACUAAUUAUAAGAGUUAGAGAUGGAUUAGGAGCGUUUAGAUAAUAUUUAU
rnacentral:sRNA from 1 species